GAUUACAAGGUGCAUGGUGCAUCAUCCAAAGGGUGCAAAGAAGAAGGAGAUUACGCCGUUGGAGUAAAGAGCGCAAACUAUGUCUAUAUUUUGACCAAAUAGCUGCAACAUGGAACUCGAUAAAACCUGGCUUAUCUGUUUGCAAGAUGUCGUUUGAUCAGUAAGAGGAACAUGUAAGCAAAGUAACUGAAACGAGAGAAAUGUCUCUGCUAAACAUGAUAUUGAUAUGCUGAUAGCUAGAGAGAAUUAAUAAAGUGCUUAAGCGCAAAUUGUUUUGAA